rnacentral:rRNA from 1 species
CCUACGGGAGGCAGCAGUGAGGAAUAUUGGUCAAUGGGUGCGAGCCUGAACCAGCCAUGUAGCGUGAAGGAUGACUGCCCUACGGGUUGUAAACUUCUUUUAUAAAGGAAUAAAGUGAGGCACGUGUGCCUUUUUGUAUGUACUUUAUGAAUAAGGAUCGGCUAACUCCGUGCCAGCAGCCGCGGUAAUACGGAGGAUCCGAGCGUUAUCCGGAUUUAUUGGGUUUAAAGGGAGCGUAGAUGGGUUGUUAAGUCAGGUGUGAAAGUUUGCGGCUCAACCGUAAAAUUGCAAUUGAUACUGGCAGUCUUGAGUACAGAUGAGGUAGGCGGAAUUCAUGGGGUAGCGGUGAAAUGCUUAGAGAUCACAAAGAACUCCGAUUGCGAAGGCAGCUUACUAAUCUGCCACUGACAUUGAUGCACGAAAGUGUGGGGAGCAAACAGGAUUAGAUACCCCAGUAGUC